rnacentral:rRNA from 1 species
UUGAACGCUGGCGGCAUGCCUUACACAUGCAAGUCGAACGCGAAAGCGGGGCAACCCGCAAGUAGAGUGGCGAACGGGUGAGUAAUACAUCGGAACGUGUCCAGUAGCGGGGGAUAACCUCUCGAAAGAGAGGCUAAUACCGCAUACGUCCUACGGGAGAAAGAGGGGGAUCGCAAGACCUCUCACUAUUGGAGCGGCCGAUGUCGGAUUAGCUAGUUGGCGGGGUAACGGCCCACCAAGGCUACGAUCCGUAGCUGGUCUGAGAGGACGGCCAGCCACACUGGAACUGAGGACACGGUCCAGACUCCUACGGGAGGCAGCAGUGGGGAAUUUUGGACAAUGGGCGCAAGCCUGAUCCAGCCAUGCCGCGUGAGUGAAGAAGGCCUUCGGGUUGUAAAGCUCUUUCGGCGGGGACGAAACGGUUCGUGUUAACACCACGGACUUCUGACGGUACCCGCAGAAGAAGCACCGGCUAACUACGUGCCAGCAGCCGCGGUAAUACGUAGGGUGCAGGCGUUAAUCGGAAUUACUGGGCGUAAAGCGUGCGCAGGCGGUCUCUUAAGACAGGUGUGAAAUCCCCGGGCUUAACCUGGGAACUGCGCUUGUAACUGAGAGGCUUGAGUGUGCCAGAGGGGGGUGGAAUUCCACGUGUAGCAGUGAAAUGCGUAGAGAUGUGGAGGGACACCGAUGGCGAAGGCAGCCCCCUGGGGUAACACUGACGCUCAUGCACGAAAGCGUGGGGAGCAAACAGGAUUAGAUACCCUGGUAGUCCACGCCCUAAACUAUGUCAACUGGUUGUCGGGGAAGCAAUUCCUUGGUAACGAAGCUAACGCGUGAAGUUGACCGCCUGGGGAGUACGGCCGCAAGGUUAAAACUCAAAGGAAUUGACGGGGACCCGCACAAGCGGUGGAUUAUGUGGAUUAAUUCGAUGCAACGCGAAAAACCUUACCUACCCUUGACAUGCCAGGAAGCUCUCAGAGAUGGGAGUGUGCCCGAAAGGGAACCUGGACACAGGUGCUGCAUGGCUGUCGUCAGCUCGUGUCGUGAGAUGUUGGGUUAGUCCCGCAACGAGCGCAACCCUUGCCAUUAGUUGCUACAUUCAGUUGAGCACUCUAAUGGGACUGCCGGUGACAAACCGGAGGAAGGUGGGGAUGACGUCAAGUCCUCAUGGCCCUUAUGGGUAGGGCUUCACACGUAAUACAAUGGCCGGUACAGAGGGCAGCCAACUCGCGAGAGGGAGCUAAUCCCAGAAAGCCGGUCGUAGUCCGGAUUGCAGUCUGCAACUCGACUGCAUGAAGCCGGAAUCGCUAGUAAUCGCGGAUCAGCAUGUCGCGGUGAAUACGUUCCGGGUCUUGUACACACCGCCCGUCACACCAUGGGAGUGGGUUUCACCAGAAGUAGUUAGCCUAACCGCAAGGAGGGCGACUACCACGGUGAGAUUCAUGACUGGGGUG